AACGCGAAGAACCUUACCUACCCUUGACAUGGCCCAAGGUUUCCAGAGAUGGAGAUGUGCUCGCAAGAGAAUGGGUGCACAGGUGCUGCAUGGCUGUCGUCAGCUCGUGUCGUGAGAUGUUGGGUUAAGUCCCGCAACGAGCGCAACCCUUGUCAUUAAUUGCCAGCAUGUAGAGGUGGGCACUUUAAUGAGACUGCCGGUGACAAACCGGAGGAAGGUGGGGAUGACGUCAAGUCCUCAUGGCCCUUAUGGGUAGGGCUUCACACGUCAUACAAUGGUGCAUACAGAGGGUUGCCAAGCCGCGAGGCGGAGCUAAUCUCAGAAAGUGCAUCGUAGUCCGGAUUGGAGUCUGCAACUCGACUCCAUGAAGUUGGAAUCGCUAGUAAUCGCGGAUCAGCAUGUCGCGGUGAAUACGUUCCCGGGCCUUGUACACACCGGAGUA
rnacentral:rRNA from 1 species